rnacentral:lncRNA from 1 species
CCCCGCUAACUCUAAUAAAAAACAUGUAAUCGUAUUUAUUUUCCUUCCGUUUAGUCAGAGGCGCUGAUGUCGGCAUUGUGAUUGGUGGAACAUGACUUUUGACAAAUCCUGCGCUAUCUGUGAAUCUGUAAUCUGUGUUCGUGUUCGUUCGUUCGUUGUCGUUCAGUUAUUUUAUAUGGUCGGUUAUGUGAUGUGUUUUUUGUGUCACCAUAAAAAGCUGAUAUUCAGUCGUGUUUUUUGAUAUUUUUGUUAUUUUGUAAUCGUGUAUCUUUUUAAAGGUCUAAUGGCUCCGUUCAGCUGUUGUGUGCAGACGGUGGAAAAGUUCAACAAGUAAACAUUUAUUUAAUCCAAAUUAAAUACUCAUAUUUCUAUGUAAAAUGUCACAUUAUUUUAUAAAUAAAUAAGUAAGAAACAAAA